rnacentral:rRNA from 1 species
GACUACUGGGGUAUCUAAUCCUGUUUGCUCCCCACGCUUUCGCUCCUCAGCGUCAGUACCGGCCCAGAGUGCUGCCUUCGCCGUUGGUGUUCCUCCUGAUAUCUGCGCAUUUCACCGCUACACCAGGAAUUCCACACUCCUCUACCGUACUCUAGUCACCGCAGUAUCGAGUGCUCCACUGGGUUGAGCCCAGAUUUUUCACACUCGACUUACGGAACCGCCUACGAGCUCUUUACGCCCAAUAAAUCCGGACAACGCUUGCCCCCUACGUAUUACCGCGGCUGCUGGCACGUAGUUAGCCGGGGCUUCUUCUGCAGGUACCGUCAUUUUCGUCCCUGCUGAAAGCGGUUUACAACCCGAAGGCCUUCAUCCCGCACGCGGCGUUGCUGCGUCAGGCUUUCGCCCAUUGCGCAAGAUUCCCCACUGCAGCCCCCCGUAGG